UGGCUCAGGACGAACGCUGGCGGCGUGCCUAAUACAUGCAAGUCGAGCGGAUUGAUGGGAGCUUGCUCCCAUCAGUCAGCGGCGGACGGGUGAGUAACACGUGGGUAACCUGCCUGUAAGACUGGGAUAACUCCGGGAAACCGGGGCUAAUACCGGAUAACUCAUUUCCUCGCAUGAGGAAAUGUUGAAAGGUGGCUUUUAGCUAUCACUUACAGAUGGACCCGCGGCGCAUUAGCUAGUUGGUGAGGUAAUGGCUCACCAAGGCGACGAUGCGUAGCCGACCUGAGAGGGUGAUCGGCCACACUGGGACUGAGACACGGCCCAGACUCCUACGGGAGGCAGCAGUAGGGAAUCUUCCGCAAUGGACGAAAGUCUGACGGAGCAACGCCGCGUGAGUGAUGAAGGUUUUCGGAUCGUAAAGCUCUGUUGUUAGGGAAGAACAAGUACCGUUCGAAUAGGGCGGUACCUUGACGGUACCUAACCAGAAAGCCACGGCUAAC
rnacentral:rRNA from 1 species